rnacentral:tRNA from 1 species
GCUAACAUGGCCUAGUGGUUUGAGUGCUGGACUAUGACUCUGGAGGCCAGGUUUCAAUUCCCAGCUUGGCC